rnacentral:tRNA from 1 species
GGCUCCAGUGCUGGGAUAGCUCAGUCAGUAGAGCAUGAGGCUCUUGAUCCCAGGGUCAUGGGUUCGAGCCCCGUGUCGGCCA